rnacentral:rRNA from 1 species
UACAGAGGUGGCAAGCAUUGUUCGGAAUUACUGGGCGUAAAGGGCGCGUAGGCGGCCUUCUAAGUCAGACGUGAAAUCCCCCGGCUUAACCUGGGAACUGCGUCUGAUACUGGAAGGCUUGAGUGCGGGAGAGGGAUGUGGAAUUCCAGGUGUAGCGGUGAAAUGCGUAGAUAUCAGGAGGAACACCUAUUGCGAAGGCAGCUCGCUGGGACGUUACUGACGCUGAGACGCGAAAGCGUGGGGAGCAAACAGG